GAGAGAGUCAGAGAGUAGCUGAACCAGGGUUGCCUCUGCCGCCUCUAUUUUCUUCUUCCUUCUUCAUCAUCUUCCACGUCACCGGUGGUGUGUGCGCUGCGACCGUUCACUGCUAUCAUCCACCUAGCCUGCAGAAGCUUCUUUCUCCUCUGUUUCUCAUCAUCAAGAUCUUGUCUUUCCUUCUCUAUUCUGUCUGAUCAUGUUAGUCAUCGGUCAAUUUUUGCGGUGGGUUCACCACUGUUGAGGUUUAAUUUGUGAUUCCGUGCUUCCCUGCACUUCCACCCAUCCUUUCUUAGUUUUAUUUCUCAUCGCCGACGUUCACCUCUUCUGUCGCUGUGCUUUCUGUGGUGCGGGCGUCAGACUUUUCCUUCUUCCUCCUCUAUUUUUGCUUAGGCACCUCUUCUUGUUUCUGACAUUGAUAACUUGAGGGUGCUCGAUGAGAUGAGUGAUAGAAGAACUUUGAAAUUUUAGCAUGAUUAAGGGUGUCUACAAGAAGGAAGAUUUGACUCUAAAGAGUGAAUAUGCACUUGAAAUACUACAGGUUGCUAACGACAGUUCUGUUAGCCCUUGGCACGCCAUGGUACACCUAGCUAGCAGGGUGUGUAUCGGAGGUGCUAGCCCCAUGUGAUGGCCAACGCACGUGGAACGAAGGGAUGGUUAUUCGUGAGCAUUGUACUCACGUUUGUUUCGUGGCUUUAAGCCGCGUUUGGUUAGCAUUACCCUCGUGGACUAUGUGUCCACGUUUAUUUCGUGGCUUCGAUCGCAUUUGAUUACUUACUCUUGUGGACUAUGUGUCCACGUUUGUUUUCAUGGCAUAAGUCGCGUUUGGUUAUUUACUUUCGUGGACUGUGUGUCCAUGUUUGUUAAUUAUUCUUAUAAGUCCCUGUAAUUAUAAAUCCAAUCAUUUGAUGAUUUCAUAUUCUAUUGGUUUUUAUUUAGUAAUUUAUUUAUAAAUAUUUAUUUCAUUUAUGAGCUUUUUUGAAAUCAAGUGAUAUUGUCAUUUGCCAUGAUAGUUCAAUGAUUUGAGAUUUUAUUUGAAAUUUAUAGAGCCAC